GGUCUUUUUUGGGGGAAGCUGGAAGAAGACCGGAAGAAAGAUGGCUGAGGCUCCUGUCCCUGUUGCACAAGGUGCUUUGUGCAGAUGAACGGCUUCAAGAGGAAGGACCAAUAUUCCUUUGGGAGACUGCUUUGUUCGAGAUGGAUCUCGAGUGACAUCCAGAAGAUGGUGUGUGCUUUCACGUAGACCGAGGGUCCAGCGUAUGAGUGACAGACAAGUUCAAGGUGGGGUUUCAGCCUGGACUUUAGGAUAAAGACAAAUUCUGUAUAGAUACUUAAUGAAUUUUUCAUGAAAGUUGAAAUGUUGGCUGUGAUAAUGACAACAGAUAAAGUUCUCCAUGCCCUCUGUAUGAAGCAGAAGCCACAAGUAAACUACAUGCUAAAGUCAACAACCAAAAAAAUGCCAGGUCACUGGCAAGAUGAUAAUUGACAGGUGUGAAGCAUAGAACCUGGAAUCCAGUUUCAUUGUGCAUCCUAUACCAGAGCAAAUUAGGCAGUGAAAGCAUUGCAUGGAUAUGACAAUCUAUUCUCGGCGGUUGCCUGUAGCAGCACUAUACUCACUCUGAAUUUUGCCAUGUCCCUCUGUAUGUGGUUCUGACAGGAGUCAAGAAUUAGCUGAUGGGAAGGCACUCCACAGUGAAAGAUGGAGGGAAUGUCAUAAAAUAAAUAGAUUGUGGCUGCUAUCUAGCAUCAGGCAGUGACAAUAAAAAUCCACUGAAAAAGGUCAUCAAUGCACAUGUGGAAAAUGGAAACUCUUGCUGUUGCAAAAUUUCACAGCUUUCAAUGACAGGAAAUGGAUACCAUUCUCCAGAAGUAAGAUAGUCUCCUAAUGCAAGAACAUACUACAAACAGAAAAGCAUUUCAGAUGUCUCUGAGACCCAUCAGGAAUGAUGCAGAAACACUGAAAUUGAUGCUCGCCCUGGCCUUUACAACCACUGGCAACAUAAUUCUGAUUAAUGGUGCAGAUGAGUUGCGACUAUCUUUCAUCACCCUUCUAAAGUAGAGCACUCCUACAUUGCUCCUUGCAAGAUACAUGUUGAACUACUUCCCAUGCUCUCUUGAUGAAUAUUCUGCUGAGGCUCUUUUCCUCCAACUCUUCUGGCAGGUCCUCUUUGCAUACUGCCUCUUCAUGCACACCAAGAGGAAAUAUCACUAGAACCUUAGAUGUCAGGAUGCAUAUCUUACUUUUGCAGUACAACUCCCUGUAAAGUACCGAAACUGCAUUAAGAUUGCAAACAGGAAGGAUAUUUCUCAACAACCAAUCUCAUCUUCAAAACAGUCAGCAACAAACCUGCACAUAAUUGAGGAACUACCUAAAAACAGGGGGGAAACUGCAGAAGCUGCAAACCUAAAUUUUAAAAAAACUGAAAAUCCUGGAAAUACUCAAAAGUCAGGAAGCAUCUGUGAAGAAAGAAACAAAGUCAGCAUUUCACAGAGAUGACCUUUCACCAAUUUUUGACUGGUUUGAGCAUUUGUAUUUUAUUAGCCAAGCAACUUGGCCACAAUAUUUAUUUGUGGAUCUCUUGCUGUAAACUGGGUAAUUUCCAGCCUUUUGAAAUGAACAAUUGAUGCCAAGUCCCCUUAAUCAUUAGUCUGCAUGCAUAACUAGAUUAUUUCAAAGGAUAUAUUGUGUCAUCUAUCUGCUUUGUGCUUGAGAAUUUGUACUACAUCAUAAUUCUUAAUUUAAAAAGUGAAUACUUUCCUAUGUUCAUUAUAUAUUUCAUCGAGACCAGCUGUGUGUGAAAUAUUCCACUCAUUUAAAUUCACUAUAUCUCUGAGAUAUGUGAAACAUUUUCAGUCCAUCUAAAAUAAAAUGGUUUUCUCUGACAGGUACGAUCUUUAAAUUAUUCUCUAUACAGUAUAAUCAUAAGUACUUUGAUUCAGGAAAAAAUAUGAACAUUUCUCAAAAUUAGAGAAAUAAAGUUGGUGUUAAAUCACAUUCAAUUUUAUUAAAAAAUAUA